UAGGGAAUUUUCGUCAAUGGGGGCAACCCUGAACGAGCAAUGCCGCGUGAGCGAAGAAGGUCUUCGGAUUGUAAAGCUCUGUUGCCGGGAAAAAGGAAGGAAAGAGGAAAUGCUUUUCUUUGGAUGGUACCCGGCCAGAAAGUCACGGCUAACUACGUGCCAGCAGCCGCGGUAAUACGUAGGUGGCAAGCGUUAUCCGGAAUGAUUGGGCGUAAAGGGUGAGCAGGCGGUUCUUCAAGUCAUGAGUGAAAGGCAGAAGCUUAACUUCUGUUGGCUGAUGAGACUGGAGAACUUGAGUACAGGAGAGGGCGGCGGAACUCCAUGUGUAGCGGUAAAAUGCGUAGAGAUAUGGAAGAACACCAGUGGCGAAGGCGGCCGCCUGGACUGAAACUGACGCUCAGGCACGAAAGCGUGGGGAGCAAAUAGG
rnacentral:rRNA from 1 species